GCAACAGCAACAAGAUGUAUUAAUCGUACAGCAGAGAGCACCAGGCAUAAACUACUCAGGAGUCAGGACAGAGACAAAGAGACAAGAUUGCAAAGCAUAUUGUUCAGAUCAAGCCAAGAAUCUUGGCAACAAGUACUCAACCCAAGCUGACAAUUUUUUCUUCUCGGUUCAUAACAGAUAAUUUCAUAGAUAGAUCAGACAGUUCAAUCCAUGGCUGUCUCUCAAACCACCAACAAAACAAAAGAUUAAACCACUCAAGACUCCCAUCCCAAUACAUAAGAGAUAUUCUUCUUCGAUUAACUAAGCGAACUACAACUACUGAUAAGAUAGAAAUGAUCACCCGCUGCUGAGUGAGUCAGAAGAGGAGGGGGGAGCAAAAGGUUUCGUUCAUGGGAGGGAGAUGGAUCUGACGCCGCGCAGCGCCUAGUAGUUCUUGUUGGGGCACUCACGCGCGAUGUGGCCGGACUCGCCGCAGUUGUAGCACCNN
rnacentral:lncRNA from 1 species